GACGAACGCUGGCGGCGUGCUUAACACAUGCAAGUCGAACGGACAGACAGAGAGCUUGCUCUCUUGAAGUUAGUGGCGAACGGGUGAGUAACGCGUAAUCAACCUGCCCUUCAGAGGGGGAUAACAACGGGAAACCGUUGCUAAUACCGCGUACGAUUCAUGAACGGCAUCGUUUAUGAAUGAAAGGUGGCCUCUAUGUAUAAGCUAUCGCUGACGGAGGGGAUUGCGGCUGAUUAGCUAGUGGGAGGGGUAACGGCCCACCAAGGCAAUGAUCAGUAGCCGGUCUGAGAGGAUGAACGGCCACAUUGGGACUGAGACACGGCCCAAACUCCUACGGGAGGCAGCAGUGGGGAAUCUUCCGCAAUGGACGAAAGUCUGACGGAGCAACGCCGCGUGAGUGAUGAAGGUCUUCGGAUUGUAAAGCUCUGUUAAUCGGGACGAAAGAGUUCUGCGUGAAUAAUGCAGAAAAGUGACGGUACCGGAAUAGAAAGCCACGGCUAACUACGUGCCCGCAGCCGCCGCCG
rnacentral:rRNA from 1 species